ACCCACACACACACCUCCCCCCCCCCACACACACACCUCCAAGGUUUGACUAAAGCAUCUCUGGGUUGUCAUCUUCAUUGAGAAAUAAAAGACUUGAUUUUUAAUCCAAUUAUGAACAAGCCCAGCUCUGGGGUGAUGCAGCUUCAGUUGUCUUAAGAAUUUCACUGGCUUUAUUCACCAGAGAUUGUCAAGUCAGUUUAUGUAUCUCCCCCCCCCCCCCCCCCCCCCC